ensembl:snRNA U6 U6 spliceosomal RNA
GCGCUCACUUCUGUAGCACACAUGCUGAACUUGGAAGGAUCGGAGACUAGCGUGGCCUCUGCACGAGGUUGACACACAAAUUCCUGAAGCAUUCUGUAGUUUU